GGCCCCUUAUCGGGGUUACGGACAGUGCCUGGUGGGUAGUUUGACUGGGGCGGUCUCCUCCCAAAGAGUAACGGAGGAGCACGAAGGUGGGCUAAUCACGGUCGGACAUCGUGAGGUUAGUGCAAUGGCAUAAGCCCGCUUGACUGCGAGAAUGACAAUUCGAGCAGGUGCGAAAGCAGGUCAUAGUGAUCCGGUGGUUCUGAAUGGAAGGGCCAUCGCUCAACGGAUAAAAGGUACUCCGGGGAUAACAGGCUGAUACCGCCCAAGAGUUCAUAUCGACGGCGGUGUUUGGCACCUCGAUGUCGGCUCAUCACAUCCUGGGGCUGAAGUCGGUCCCAAGGGUAUGGCUGUUCGCCAUUUAAAGUGGUACGCGAGCUGGGUUUAGAACGUCGUGAGACAGUUCGGUCCCUAUCUGCCGUGGGCGUUGGAUGAUUGAGAGGGGCUGCUCCUAGUACGAGAGGACCGGAGUGGACGAACCGCUGGUGUUCGGGUUGUGUCGCCAGACGCAUUGCCCGGUAGCUAAGUUCGGAAUCGAUAACCGCUGAAAGCAUCUAAGCGGGAAGCGAGCCUCAAGAUGAGUCAUCCCUAGACCUUUAAGGUCUCUAAAGGGUUGUUGAAGACUACAACGUUGAUAGGUCGGGUGUGUAAGUGCUGUGAGGCAUUGAGCUAACCGAUACUAAUUGCCCGUGAGGCUUAACCAUACAACACCCAAGGGGUUU
rnacentral:rRNA from 1 species